GAAAAGAAACUAACAAGGAUUCCCCUAGUAACUGCGAGUGAAGCGGGAAAAGCUCAAAUUUAAAAUCUGAUAGUCUUAGGCUGUCCGAGUUGUAAUCUAGAGAAGUGUUAUCCGCGCUGGACCGUGUACAAGUCUCCUGGAAUGGAGCGUCAUAGAGGGUGAGAAUCCCGUCUUUGACACGGACUACCAGGGCUUUGUGAUGCGCUCUCAAAGAGUCGAGUUGUUUGGGAAUGCAGCUCAAAAUGGGUGGUAAAUUCCAUCUAAAGCUAAAUAUUGGCGAGAGACCGAUAGCGAACAAGUACCGUGAGGGAAAGAUGAAAAGAACUUUGGAAAGAGAGUUAAACAGUACGUGAAAUUGCUGAAAGGGAAACGCUUGAAGUCAGUCGCGUUGACCAGGGAUCAACCUUGCUCUUGCUGGGUGUACUUUCUGGUUAACGGGUCAACAUCAAUUUUGAUUGUUGGAAAAAGAUCAAGGGAAUGUAGCAUCUUCGGAUGUGUUAUAGCCUUUGGUUGUAUACAACAAUUGGGAUUGAGGAACUCAGCACGCCGAAAGGCCGGGUUUUUAACCACGUUCGUGCUUAGGAUGUUGGCAUAAUGGCUUUAAUCGACCCGUCUUGAAACACGGACCAAGGAGUCUAACAUGCCUGCGAGUGUUUGGGUGGAAAACCCGAGCGCGUAAUGAAAGUGAAAGUUGAGAUCCCUGUCGCGGGGAGCAUCGACGCCCGGACCAGAAAUUUAUGGACGGUUCCGCGGUAGAGCAUGUAUGUUGGGACCCGAAAGAUGGUGAACUAUGCCUGAAUAGGGUGAAGCCAGAGGAAACUCUGGUGGAGGCUCGUAGCGAUUCUGACGUGCAAAUCGAUCGUCAAAUUUGGGUAUAGGGGCGAAAGACUAAUCGAACC
rnacentral:rRNA from 1 species